rnacentral:lncRNA from 1 species
UCGCUUGGAUUGAAUUCGGUCGGUAGUAUGUUUCGGCGCAUAGAUAAUAGACGAAUCUUUUAUCUUCCAUUAUCUAUGCUUCAGAGUGUGCAGCUGUCCUCGUAUGUGAUUACGUUGCGUUUAAUUUAUUUUGAGUGUUUCGAUUCUAGUGUCGCUAUAAUCUGUGACGUGUAGUAAACGGUCAGUUAUGCGUUAUGUCUUCCGUCGCAGAACUCCUAGGUAGUUUUCAAACGGACGUUUCUUAAACACGACUGGGUCUGACAGCUGCCAAACGAAAUACCCAGUUCAAUAUUAUGGGCCAACCGAUAAGACUUCACUCACUACCAAUACUGAAACAUCAUCGAUUAAUAAAUAAUAUGACUGAUGGAAAAGCAAUUUGUACAAGUAUGUAUAGUUAAUAGUUUUUCCAUAUGGCGUGGUCACUGGCUCUCCGCUCUCUAUCAGAGAAAUAAAAUCGAAAACAUCCUUCGAUGACAUGCGACGCUGUUUAUUAUUUAGGAUUUAAGUGACUGUGGAUACGAUGGGUAUUUGUUUUCUUUGUGAUACAAAGCUGUACGGUGAACGAAUACUGGUGGGUUCAAGCAUUACACCACGUCAUAGUAAUGCACCAAACCCGGAAAAAAUUGUUGAGUUUAUUGGAGAUGAAUUUGUGAUUAUUGUGACCCCUGCAGACCACAUAUGCGAGAAAUGUACCUCUCUUUUGCUCCAUAUGAACAAGUUGGAAAAUUAUCUGAAACUUGUUAAAAAUGCAAUGUUGUUAUAUAUAUAAAAGAAAUAUGGAACAUUGCCUCCUGAUCAGGCUGUUAAGAAUGUUGAGAUUGUCAAUGGGCACUUAAACGCAGAGUAACAACUAGAAAAAGAGCAGCGUAAUGUACCUGGUGGUCUGACAGUAAGAGUUUCCCCUAUUGAAACUACUUCAGCUAUAAUUAAACCAGUCCAGACUUCUUAAAAUGUUUAAUACACAACAGCAGCGGCACCAACAACAACAACCAACUCAAUAAGAUAGUACUAACAAAAUGAAACUAUAUAGAAGCGCGGUUCUUGUACAUUCCAAGCAAAAGAGCUUGGUCAUGUUCGGUAUGUACAUCAUUUAAUAUUAGUUUAAAGUUAUUAUCAAUAUUUUAAUUUUAGAUUCCACAUGCGCACUCAUACAAACAAAAUGGGGCCUGAAAACCUAUUUUGAACCAAUUAAAGCAUUAACUCCGAUUGUCAAUGGGCACUUAAAGGCAGAGUUACUACUAGAAAAAGAUCAGCGUAAUGUACCUGGUGGACUGACAGUGGGAGUUUCCCCUAUUAAAACAACUGCAACUAGUUACUCUGGUUCAUACUCCAUUCAAAUUGUUAAAAACACAACAUCAGCAGCAAAAACAACAACAACAAAAACAAUCACCAACACAACAAGAAAGCGUUAAAAAAAUGAAAAUAUACAAGUACGGCAUUUGUACAUUCGAAUCGAAAGAGCUUGGUCAUGUUCAGGACUACAACAGAAGAAACGACUAUUCAGAUGUCAAAUAUGUUCUAAAUGCUUUUUUAAUCGAUAUAAUUGCCUUGAUCAAAUUCAUAAAGACCAUAAUCAACCAACUCAAUCAAGCUCAAAUGGAGAAAGAGUAACGGAAGAUUCUCAUCCGGAGUCUCUAAUGGACGUAGAUAACAAUCAACAGGAUCACUGUCGACACGGGUAUGAUGUUAAAUGACAAUUUCUCCUCCAAAGAAUCUGCAAAUGUUGAGCAAGAAGUCGCCAAAGAAGAAGAUAAUGUAGAAGAUACAGUCAUGCCUGAACAGGAAGAAGCUGAUUAAGAAACUCCAGAAAGUGUUCAGAAUAAAGUUGAUGAAGACAACGCAAAUGUGGAAAACAAAAUGGGAGACUUGGGCAUAGAAUCAAUGUUAGCCACAAUCCAUAAUGAUAAGUUACAUAGGUAACACAAAAAUAAUUAAAAAAUCUAAGCUCCCAAAAAAAAUUUAGUAACUAGGUUAGUUAUUAAUUUUUGUUUAUUAUUUUCAAAAUACUAUGUAGGUUAGCUUAGUAUACUGAAUAUUAUUUCAAAGUUCUGGUAUAUAUUACAUUUAAUACUAGUUCAAACUUAUUUAAA